ACGCUGGCGGCGUGCUUAACACAUGCAAGUCGAACGGUGAAGGGAAGCUUGCUUCCCGGAUCACGUGGCGAACGGGUGAGUAACACGUGGGCAAUCUGCCCCAGACUUUGGGAUAACUACUCGAAAGAGUAGCUAAUACCGAAUAUUCAGCCUUGCAGGCAUCUGCGAGGCUGGAAAGUUUCUCGGUCUGGGAUGAGCCCGCGGCCUAUCAGCUAGUUGGUGAGGUAAUGGCUCACCAAGGCGACGACGGGUAGCCGGCCUGAGAGGGCGACCGGCCACACUGGGACUGAGACACGGCCCAGACUCCUACGGGAGGCAGCAGUGGGGAAUAUUGCGCAAUGGGCGAAAGCCUGACGCAGCAACGCCGCGUGCGGGAUGAAGGCCUUCGGGUUGUAAACCGCUUUCAGCAGGGAAGAAGCGAAAGUGACGGUACCUGCAGAAGAAGCACCGGCUAACUACGUG
rnacentral:rRNA from 1 species